GCUCGCACUCACCGCGCGCACCAGCGGCACCGAGCCCAAGCUCAAGUACUACAGCGAGCUCGUCUGCGACGCGCCCACCGCCGGGGACCAAAUGCAAAUGAAGGAAAAACUAAAGGAGAUGGUGGAAGAAUUUGUUGAAGAGCUCUUACAACCGAAAGAGAAUGGUUUGUUGUAAGAUAAUUUAUUUUUAUAGCACUAUAAUGGUAUAUUAUAAUUGUUAUUUUUCGUAUACUUGAUGUUACUUGUUUAUAUAAUCACAUCGUUUUGCAGCCCUACGAUAUGAUAAAACUGUUGACGAGGGUCGGUAGGUAAUAUACAGGGUUGUUUUGAUAUAAUAACGAAUAUUUUCACCAACAAUCCUUUUAGUUUUCUGAAUUUCUGAUCAUUUUGUAGUAUAAUGCGAACAUGGCGCGUGCGUGAGUGUAUUUCUGACUGAAAGUAUGAUGCCGCUGCAAAGAAUUCUCUUAGAGUAGUACUCGUGGCUUUAGGGCGCGUAAAAUUAAAAUUAAAUUUUAUUAAUAUUUAUUUUGUUCGAAACUUCACUUUUUUAUUUUACAUCUACGGCUGUUGUAACUUAUUGUAAAGUAUUAUUUCUAAGUAGAUAAGUAUGUGGUUUCAUUUAGUAACGCGAUGUCAAAAUGACCCUGUAUAACAAAUUAACAAAUGGGUACAAUUUAUAUGCAAUCGGGUUUACAUGAUGAUUUUUAAACCAUACGAUCAUAUUUUAUUUUCAUUUCACAUUUUACAUAUUGUUCUAAACAUUUUUUAUUGAGAUGUUGUUGUAACAUUUGUGUAUCAUUUCUCUUAAAGUUUUUUAAUCUUAGAUUAUUUUGUCUCUUAUGUAAAAUAAUAAUAUCUAUUAUUUUAGGUGAAUUUCUAACGCAAUUUUGAUAACUUACUCCAUAAUUUACUUUUGUAUAACAAAACUUGUGCUACUAGGAUAAAAUAUCUUUAAAGCUUUACGAUUUAAUCAUCGUCCCGCUGUUUCUAAAAUAAGCUAUUGAGUGGCUGUGCACGCCAAUAUAAAGGCAAAUGAUUUUGCAUUUAAAUAAAUAAUACAAGCAAUUUUUAAAAUAAGUUUCAAAAUCUACACGUAUACUAAUAUAUAAAGCUAAAGAAUUUGUUUGUUUCAACGUGCUUAUCUCAAUAAUAUAAAAACAUUUGAUUUUUUUUUUCAGUGUUAAAAAUCUAUAUUGCCUCUGAGUCCUAUAGGCUACUUUAUAUCCCGGGAAAUAUUUAAUACGGAAAAACAAAAACUUUUUUACGCGGCCGGACCCGCAGACAAAAGCUAGUAAAUAUAAUACAGAAUAUACAAUUUUAGAAGAUUUUUCGACCGUAAAUUAUAAGUUUAAAUAAUUUUCAUCCACGCACCAAAGAGACACGAACCAUUCCGUUCUGUGAUAGGUUGGGUAUGUGAUAAACAUUUGGUCCACAAGACCAUUUCCUUUUACUAUUUGUAUGGGAAAUAAAAUAUUAAUAAAUA